rnacentral:rRNA from 1 species
GAUGAACGCUGGCGGCGUGCCUAAUACAUGCAAGUCGAGCGAACGGACGAGAAGCUUGCUUCUCUGAUGUUAGCGGCGGACGGGUGAGUAACACGUGGAUAACCUACCUAUAAGACUGGGAUAACUUCGGGAAACCGGAGCUAAUACCGGAUAAUAUUUUGAACCGCAUGGUUCAAAAGUGAAAGACGGUCUUGCUGUCACUUAUAGAUGGAUCCGCGCUGCAUUAGCUAGUUGGUAAGGUAACGGCUUACCAAGGCAACGAUGCAUAGCCGACCUGAGAGGGUGAUCGGCCAGCCUGGAACUGAGACACGGUCCAGACUCCUACGGGAGGCAGCAGUAGGGAAUCUUCCGCAAUGGGCGAAAGCCUGACGGAGCAACGCCGCGCGAGUGAUGAAGGUCUUCGGAUCGUAAAACUCUGUUAUUAGGGAAGAACAUAUGUGUAAGUAACUGUGCACAUCUUGACGGUACCUAAUCAGAAAGCCACGGCUAACUACGUG